GACGAACGCUGGCGGCGUGCCUAAUACAUGCAAGUUGAGCGAUGAAGAUUGGCGCUUGCACCAAUUUGAAGAGCAGCGAACGGGUGAGUAACGCGUGGGGAAUCUGCCUUUGAGCGGGGGACAACAUUUGGAAACGAAUGCUAAUACCGCAUAACAACUUUAAACAUAAGUUUUAAGUUUGAAAGAUGCAAUUGCAUCACUCAAAGAUGAUCCCGCGUUGUAUUAGCUAGUUGGUGAGGUAAAGGCUCACCAAGGCGAUGAUACAUAGCCGACCUGAGAGGGUGAUCGGCCACAUUGGGACUGAGACACGGCCCAAACUCCUACGGGAGGCAGCAGUAGGGAAUCUUCGGCAAUAGACGAAAGUCUGACCGAGCAACGCCGCGGGAGUGAAGAAGGUUUUCGGAUCGUAAAACUCUGUUGGUAGAGAAGAACGUUGGUGAGAGUGGAAAGCUCAUCAAGUGACGGUAACUACCCAGAAAGGGACGGCUAACUACGUG
rnacentral:rRNA from 1 species